UGGCAAUGGGCAGACACAGAGCAGAAAGUGGCGGACUUGGGCGGCCACAGAGCCUUUAUGACCGAAGAUGGAACUGAAAUGCCAUCCUGUUAUCAAGAAGGAGCAUAAGAACAGCUAGAGGAGAGAUGCAAGAUUGAAAUAUCAUGGAAUGGACUAUGGUUUAUCCUCUCUUCUGGUCGUAAAACACCAUCAGGUUGUAAUUGUUCAGAUCAGAAAUUCCCAAGCUUUUAAUAAAGCCUUCAGGGAGCCUCAUCCAGGGGCAACUGCCCUGUCAUUGGGAAUAAGUAGAGUGUGUGGGAAAUAUGUUGUCCUUGGUAAAACCUCCCCUUAGGAAAGAAGGCAAGAGAAUUGAGUAAGAGAAUGAUGGGCCAAAAGGAGAAAAUAGAGAAAGAGGCUGCAUGCUACAGAGAACAAGAGCAAAAUUCAAAAGCCUGGCACAGUUGGGCUUGAAACCAUCUGUGUAAAGGGGACUAAUAAUGCUGACCUCACUG
rnacentral:lncRNA from 1 species